GGGGGUAUAGUUCAGUGGUAGAGCAUUUGACUGCAGAUCAAUAGGUCCUCGGUUCAAAUCCGGGUGCCCCUU